AAUAGGACAAAAAGACCCUAUGGAGCGUUCUUAUUUUAAUUUAAAAAAUUCAACCUACUGGACAGAUGCCCAUAAUAUAUAAGCUAAUAAUUUUGUUUGAGGUAACCUCAGAAUAUAGAAAACCCUCUGAAUGAUUUUAGCUUAGACUCACAAGUCGAAGCAAACCUGAAAGCGCUAUUGACCCAAAUAUUUUGAUCAAUGGACUAAGCCACCCUAGGGAAAACACACAAUCCUUCUCAAGAGUUCAUAUCAACAGUUACUGUUUAUGNCCUUGUUGUUGGACCAGGACAGCCCUAUGGUAUCACCUGUUCAAUUGACAAUUUGUUGACUUAACAAAUGAACACCAUUAAUGGUUCAUCUGUUCAAUGAUUAAAGUCCUACCUGGUCUGAGUUCAGAUCGCAGUAAUCCAAGAUGGUUUGUAUCUAUU
rnacentral:ncRNA from 1 species